CUAGUACUACCUCCGUCCAACAAAAGAUGUCUCAAGUUUGUCAAAAAUUGAAUGUAUCUAGACAUGACUUAGUGUAUAGAUGCAUUAAAAUUUAGUCAAAGUUGAGACAUCUUUUGUUGGACAGAGGGAGUAUGAA
rnacentral:pre_miRNA from 1 species